CCGAAGCAAAUCAAGAGUAAUUUAAAGGAGGUACAGCUCCUUUAAAAAAGAAUACAACCUCUCCUAGCGGAUAACACCUCCUCACCCCAAAACUGUAGGCCUUUAAGCAGCCAUCAAUAAAGAGUGCGUCAAAGCUCACCUUAAAAAAAUCCAAGAAUCAAUCUGACUCCCUUACCCCUAACAGGCUAACCUAUAGUAAUAGGAGAAUUAAUGCUAAAAUAAGUAACUGGGGCACCCCCUCUCAAGCGCAAGCUUACAUCAUUACAUUAUUAACAGACCACGGCUAAUGCUGCAAACCAACAAGACUAAACAUUAAACUCACCCUGUUAACCCGACUCAGGAGCGCUUUAU
rnacentral:rRNA from 1 species